GUAAUAUAAUGGAUGCACAAUUUUGAUUGACUGUAAGUGGUAAAUUUUACUGUUUGUGUUCAUGAGAUUAACAGACCACAUUCAUCCUCUUUUUAUCAAUGUGUUAAUUGCUCAUACCAGUCGAGAAACCAUUCAGCCCUUGCCAAUUUGUCCUCCUAGAUGAUUCUCAAUGAUGGCCGGCUGGUUUCCCGUGCUGUAUGUUUGCACCUUUGUGCUUGUAGAACAAAAUUAGUCCUGUUAGAUUUCUCUCCCAGCCUUUGAGAAUGAAGGAAGCUUCAACAAUGCUUCUUUAGUUCCAUUUGUGCCUGCACAUUCAGGAUAUUAUGCAGAUAUGAAUAUAAAGUCCUUGUACCUCACUAACUUAUAAUUGCAUCAAUUUUAUAUUUUUAGAAUAUUAUUUGUUCGUCAAAUAUUUUUGGUGAGUUACAUGUGCAUUAUAGAUACAGAGCUCAGUUUCUAGAGUAAAAGAAUGUAGCCGAAGCUUGAAGGACAUAAAUACUAUAUUGAAUUUGUAUCAAGCGUUAGAAAUGAUUAUUGAUACGAAUCAACCUGUUUCAGACAAAUAGAAGUUGUCAUCCUUACUUUUUUUGAGAUAAAUGACUGUCAAGUGAUUUUACACUCCAAAUAGAUUCAUGAACAGGUAUUUUACCAUAAGUUGUAUUGUCGCCACCCCAGAUUAUUGUUAUUAUCUCUUUAAGCCAGGGCCACCAACUAUAUGAGAAAUAUAACACUAUGAAGUGAUAAUACAAAAGUCCUGGACACUUCAUAUUAGUAACUUCUGUCAAUUUUCUUGAUGAUUGUUGUGCCUCUUUUGGUUAUCAUGUGCUCCCUUUUAUUAAAUUACUCUUUGCAUCCUUUUUGGGAUAAUUCAUCGAAUUUUGGCAGUAUAGAUUUCUUAACCUUGGUGGUAGAGGACUUUGACUUUGUUGAUAAAUACACUUUUGGCAGUAUAGAUUUCUUAACCUUGGUGGUAGAGGACUUCGACUUUGUUGAUCAAUACACUGCAAUUAAUUAAAAUUACUUCAGAGGUUUGUAUCUUUUUGAACCUCGAUCUUCUAGCUGGAACCACUUGCCCCUGAGUUGCUUUGUGAUAGUUAGAUCAGAAGUGGUAUACUUAUUAAAGCAAGCUGAAAAAGCUUAUGCUACAUAUUACUGCUCCAAUGUUUCUUUUCUUUCUUUAACUUCUUUGCUUUCAACAAUUUUUUUUAACAUGACAAAAAUGAGAGUUGAUUUUAACUCCUGCAAUCUUUGUCUCAUAGAUUUCUCUUUCUAUUUUUCAUAUUACUUGCCAGCGGAUUGGUCUUUAUCUUGUGAAAAAGGUUUGAUAAUAGAAGGCAAAGAGCUUUAUUCAUGUUAUAGUUUUUCUGGUGCGAAGUAAGUGUUUUUGGCAACAGAUUGGACAAAGUGGAAUUUACCAAUGGGAACUCUGAACUCUGUAUACUGCUACUAUCCUACUGCAAUCGCAUUUUUAAAUCCUAAACAAAUGCUGGCAUGUCAUGGGCCAAGAAUGGUGUACUAAUUACAAUGAUUCUAUUGGAGGUUCUGUGAAAAAAUUAAUCAACCUAAUUCAGUUGUUCCAUUCAUAUUCUUUUCGUUCUUAGUGUUCCAUGGUGAUUUCAGCAGUGUCUUCUUAUUUGAUUCUUUCUUCUUUUUGUCAGGUGGGAUGUAGAUGACAGCUAGCACUAACUGCUAUUCGGAGAAAGUGGCCCCUCUAUUGUCAACGCUUUCCAGCAAUAUCUGUGAGUUCGAAAUAAAGCAUUUACGUGGCAAACACGUAGGGUGACAAGAAACAUAACUGAGAUUGUAAACCUCUUUACCUUUUCUGAUAACUAAUAGAAAUAUUACACUCUAUGAUGUUCAUAUUCCAUAGGUCACCCACACCACAUAUUAGGUCCCAAAAUUUGCAAUCAGGAUCCAUCACAAGGUAUUGGGGAUUUGUCGUGUUUGCUUGUUUGUUGUAUUUUUGAUAAGUGAUUAGUGGGAAAAACUAUUGCCAUAUUGAGAGUUCUUUAGUAUUUAAUUGAUCAUUUAUCCAUUUGCGUCCUUUUUAUUUGAGUUUUCCCUUUUAUAUAUAGGGGUUAUUUAUGUUCAUUUCUAUUCAGAUGUAAAUGAAUUAGGAUUCACAAAAAUUCACACCCCAGUGAUUGAAGUUGAAAUGUUAGAUUUAUCAACUAAAGCCUCCAUUUCGGGACAUUCAUUAAAAUUAGUUUGUCCAUCUAAAAGUAUUAUAUAUCGGAGAAUUCACUCUCUUAAUUCAAAUAGGUUGGUAGUUUUGAUGUAAUGGGGUGAGUGAGGAGGGCAGAAUAGGAUCAUAGGAUUUAGGGGUGACGUGUUACAAGUUUUUAAAUUUCUGAGCACAAACCAGUACCAAAAAUUCUUAUCUUCUUUAAAGUUAUCACAACAGGUUUAAGAUCCAGAGCUUCAAGAUAUGCAUGGUCUUUAUCGAUGCCUCAAGAUCCCAAAGUCAACCGGAUUUCUACCCCAGCAAGAUUUCUGAUUUCCUCUCUAUCACAGCAGCUGCAGUUUGAGCCAGUCCACUAACAAUCUCUAUAUGAUGUUUCAUGAACUGUAGAUAAAAUAUAUUGGAUGCUUUCUUGAAUGGUUCUCUAAACGCUCCAUUCCCUUCAAAACACUAUAUGUAUAUACUUUGAAGGACAAUUUUCUAAAAUACAUUGUGACCAUGUCAUUUAUGUAGUAGAUUCUCGAGUGUGUUUGGUAUAAUAAUGUCAUAUAGAGAUGUACUAUAAUACCAGAAUUGCUACUUUACUUGUUUGCAGAUUGCUGAGAUGGAAUUUAUGAAGGAGGAGAAGUGCUAAACAUGAAAGACAGUCUUUGUUUUAAAGCUGUAUUUGAUUAUAGGAUAACUUGGUUAACAUAUUGUACCUAAAUAUAGCUUCGUUGUCCCAUUUUUGUAGCCAUGAAUAAGCUAAUACAACUCUUCAAUGUGGUGAUGUGAUACCAAGAGGCAACAAAAAAUAUUUUGAAAGUUUAGAAAUGUGAUUUGUGGUGAGUUUUGAAACUUGCAGUAAUUCUAGAGCAAGCCUGUCUCAUAUCUUUUCCAUUAUGCUGGUUCAACUACUGCUUAUCGAUUGGAUAUAUUUGAGUUUGAAGAUGAUGUGGAUAAUGGUCCGUCCAAUAAAAUAUGGAGUUUUAGCAUUAGAAUACAACAUAAAUUUUCCUUUUUUCAUGUUCAUAAGAAGCCACUUUGCAAUACUCGGACCUUACUGUCUUGGAUCAUUCUUUAUUUCUGUCUUUAUGUCAUCUAUCUUACAGUGGAUCGUAAAUAUGCGUACAAUCAAUGUUGUAACUUUACUUGGAGCCACUGCUCCGAACUAUUCAAUUUUAUCUUUGAUUAUAAAAGUGAUGUUUAAAGGUAUUAUAAUUUAUAACAAGUUUCUCAUGUUGUCAUGCUGCGUGGGUUUCUUUAGGAUUUAGACGGAUACUUCUAUCUGUGAAUUGCAGUUUGUUAUUACCAAGUACAUCGUAAAUAUAUAUAUCACUACCAACACUCCAAUUGCUAAAUAUUUUAUUGUUUUGCAAGAAACCCUCAAGUGUUGUGAAUUAUACACAGGUUGAUAAGUGUAUUCGUCCAGCAUAGUUACACCAACCAUGAACUGAAUGGAUAGUCUAAAAUCAACUUGAGCAAAUAAUGUGUUGCAUGGUUGUGUUUCUUGGACAAUAAAAUAUAUAAGAUUAGGAGAGGAUUUUCAGUCUUCAAUAUUUUUAGAAAUUUCUUAUUUUAAUUUACCUUAAGUAUUGAAAAAUCAAACAUGCUCGCUCUUUUAGGGAUGGAGUAAUUGUUUCUUUUCUUACAACAUUUCAGGUCUUCAUAAAUAUGCCUCCAGGAAGGUAAAAGGAAGAGAUCCAAAAGGACUCCGCAAAAUGCACAAUGUUCAACAAAAAUCAAAGAAGAUACAAAUAGGAGUAAGAGUGGAUGAGGUAAAUACAAUUAAAAAUCAUAUUCUGGAGAUGCGAGUAGCAGAAGGAACAGUAGUUAAGGUAAAGCCAGUUUGCAUUCAUUCUCUUCUUUAAAUAGUACUAAGAAAGUUAUAUAUGUCAAUAAUAUAUAAUUGCGUUACAAAAACGAUGGCCUAUAGACUCUGGAUUUCAUGAAACAAAACAAUGAUUUCCAACUUGACUAUUCCCAAUCAAAUAUGUAGGUACAAUACAAGUUUGAAUUGAUGUAGACCUUAAAGAUUGUUAAUCGUGUGCUUGUGAAUUUCCGUGUUGAUUUGAAAGUUCAAUGUUGAAGACAAAUUCUGUUGCAUUGUAGGAAGGUUAACUUUCUAUCCUUCAACUACGCCUACUGAUCUAUUGUAUUCAUCAGUUUUGCUACCUAAAGUGUACCAAUAGCGCGGUGCUUGUGUCAUGUCAAUAUUAGCUUUCGGCGGAUACUGAUUUUAUUCUUCUUGUUUGGGGGAAUUAAAGAUUAAGGGGAUUUAAGAUUUGUUGUUUCAAGGAAAUUGCCUGAAAGAAUUUGAAAGAUAUGUACUAAAAUAAUUGUGCAGGUUUAUUUUAGAUGUGAAAUUUUCAUGUUUCUUUGGAUGUGUCCAUGUAAAGCAUUAACUAUUAUUUGAUCCUUUCUAAGUGUCAAAUAUGUAUGAUAAACAUGGGAAGCAAACCACGAGCCCAAGAGGUGGUGGGAAGACAAAAGGGACGUAUUAUGACAGAUUAGAGGAUACAAUACACAUAAAUGCAUUCCAUUUUCUUAUCUUGAUUAGCCUUUGAACGACUACUUGGAUAUUCUUCACAAACUAUUUAGAGAAGGGGUUUGUUAUCGUGGUCUUAUGCUCAUGAAAAAGACAUGCAUAGUUCUUGACCCUUAAUAGCCAGCUUCGGCCUACCGGAUGUUGACAGGUGUCCUCAUUUCUACUAUUUCAGAAUGUUUGGCCAGUUGGCUUAAAUUAUAAUUUACGAAAUUCAAAGAUAUUCUAAUUAAUGGUAUAGCUGGAGAGCAAGAAGAGAGUGGAUAAUACUAAAUUAGCAUCUGCUAUUGAGGGAUAACGUUCAUUCACUAUAGUUGUGUUAAUGAAAAUGUGAUUUAGGUAGCCAAGUUUUCCUUGGGCAAGACAUAUUGCUAAGGCUUACAUUUUCACUAUCGGUCUUUUGAUAUCUUCCUUAAUAGAGGCUCAUAUAUUUUCUCCAACCUUAUGUUUCUUAAAAUCGGAAAAGGUCAGAGUGGUGAGGUAGGGUGAAAGAUUAUCUACCAAAGCUCGGAGAAAGAUGAUAUCUUAUACUGGAGCUUCGAAAUUUGCCCUUGAAAUUUAGAAUUACUGCAACACUCAUGUCAUUUUGUAGCUGGAGGUUGCAAACAAUGAAUCGAGAAUUUGCCCGUCCUUUGGACGGGCACGGGCCAUCUAGUAUUAAUUAUUAUUUAUGA